CUGUGUAUUUGGAAAAUUUUGUGAAAAUAGGAGAAUUGGCAAUUCUUACCUUUCAUACCUAUACUUUCAUUGAUAAAACAUAACAUGGACUCAUCCAGUGUCCAGUUUGAAGGUCAUUUUAGUUAUUGUCACAUUUAUGCACGUUCUGAUUUAAUAAAUAGUCAUGUAUGUAAAGCAUUAACAGUUUGAAGGUAAACUAAUAAUAACUUAACCCAAUCAAAUUGCGUAAUAUUCAAUAACAAUGACUGGUCCACAUUAUAAUAAGUAAUAGGGGUAAACUGGGUAGGGAGAAAAUGUAAGAUAUUCAAAAUUUAUUUUUUUUGCAAUAACGAAUAAAAAUUUGUCAACCAAAAGUUUUGCUAUAAUUUCAUAAACAUGUCGUUCUGUAUUAGUACAGUUUUUGGAUCUUUCAUUUAUGUAGUUAAGGCCAUACAAAGUUUGGGCUUCAAAAGUCCACAUAAUUAUUGACUUUAUUCAGAAAAUUUGUCCUUUUAAAACAUAACAUGUUUCCAAAACAAUACGUAACUACAAAGUAAAUUCAUUUCUCAAAACACUGCAAAAAUUUUCAUCUCGAUUGGUACAGAAGUAUUCUCAUAAAGUGCGUUGAAAUAAACAGUGGUAUAGCAAACAUCGAAUUCCCUCACAAAAUCUUGUUAGGCACU
rnacentral:lncRNA from 1 species